GCCGAGCUUGGUAACUCUAGCUUGUAACUCAAGUGGGGGCAUCAAAUUGAUGGGACAUGACUUGUGCUAUGCUCGGUUGGGCUGGUCGCUGCAUAACGCAGGCCUGCCCGCUCCAAGUAAGGAGUUGAGCAAUGGGGCUUGAGCGAAGGCUCGGGUCUCCUUGUUCCUAAAGUGAAGGGCACAGCGUGAGGCUGGUUUCACAGAGCAGUGAUCACCUUCCUCUCCUCACAGUGGAGGGAUUACAGGUUGCUGCACUACUAGUCCACCGUAACCGGGUGUGCCAAGCUCCUGAACCAUCAUUUUU
rnacentral:SRP_RNA from 1 species